GGCUGUGUAGCAUAGUGGUUAAGGAGCAGGGCUCGUAACCAAAAGGUUGCUGGUUCGAUUCCUUGUUGGGGCA